CCUGCAGGGACCCGGCAGGAGGGAGCUGCCCCAGCACUAGCCCCGGCCAGCCCCACUCGAGGCCGCUUCCCCGCCGACUGGCUCGGGUACAACCCCCCACCGGCCAGGAGGGGCGGGCGGAGGCUCGGGGGAGGAAGGGGACAGGGCAGCGGAGCCCUGCGGAAGAACUUCUCCGAGCGCCGGAGUCAGCGCCCCGCCGCUUUCAGCCCAGCUUCGCCUCUCCCCUCACGCCUCGGUUUGGUCCCCUCUUUCGCUCGCCCUCCUCGCUGUCGCCCAUUUCUCCCCUUCCCCUCCCUUGCAGUCCCAUCUUCUCCACCCACGCCUCCUCCCCUUCCCCUGGCCCCUGUUUCCCUCGGGCUCUCUUGUCCCCUCCACUCGACUCGAUUCUGCCCCUCUGCUUCCAGCCUGUCCGCACUCCCGCCCUUGGGCAGGGCUCCUUCGCUGGAGACUUUCACUUUUCUUUUCCUCUCCUCCCUUCUUCCUGUUGGCUGCAGCCCCCUUUCCAGGUGGCUCUACCCUUUGCCUCUCUUCUCGGACGGCGGGAGCCUCCUUCCAGGCUCCAGCUGCGCAGCUAUGGAAAAAAAAUGCCACUCAGGGCCUGAAACUGAACUAACUCUCCCACGGCGGGGCCCAGCUGCUGGAGAGCCAGACUAAGGAGCUCCAGGCCCAGCUCCUUGCCGCUUUACUGCUCGGUGCGCUUCUCAGGCGUCCUCGGUGCCAAAGCUCAGGCAGCGCAUUCCUGGCAGCCACCUCAGCAGGGCACCGUUUGUUUUGAUUUUUCCUUCCCUCUCUUAAAACAUUCCCGAGGCCAACUCCAUGGCUCCCAGCGGACGGGUUUUUCUUUCAUUCCACCUUCUCCUUUGCAGAGGUCUCUCAGUCAUUACUAUCAAAGCUGGAAAAUAUGAAGGUACAGAAUUUGUCGGGCACAAGCCAGGCCUACUUACUACCACGUCUUUAAUUCUGGUGCAAUUGAGAACAGAUGCAGUUCUGGGAACCAUGCGACCAAAAACCUUUCCCGUAACACCAUCUCUCCAAUCCCAGCUGGAGAGAACACCUGUAAGAUCCUGUCCACAAUUGUAUUUUGGAACUACUUCAUGACAUCUGACCUGGUUACAACAUGCCCAGUUUAAAUUGCAUCUACAUUACAGCUUAUUUGCUUCACUGAACAGUAUUUGUAUAUCCAAACCUACUCCAGAGCUUAACCAUGUGUGUAUCAGUAGAUCCAGAGAAAAUGUGGGAUGCUAUACCAUACUGCCUCAGCAUGGUACAGUGCAUGGAUGACAUACAAGCUGUUGGAGCUAUUCAGCAGUGUUUAAAGCAAUGUAUUCUCUUUUUUCCAACAGCAAAGGGAAAUAGGUGGGAGGACUGGCCAAACACUUGACACAGGCACAGUUAGGAGUUUGUUUAUAUUGCCAGACCAAAACCACUAAGAGCAUGCUGAAAUGGUACAGGAAGGACAUGUGCCAACAGACAUGUCCCUGGCAAGAGGGAAACACUGUUAGGUCCCACAAUUACUAACUGAGUAAUAACUAUGUGGUAUGUGAGCGUACACCAUAUUCAAAAGUAAUCCACACCAGUAGCUGGGUACAAACUCACUUCGGAGCUGUGGUGUGGACAGGCCCUAAGACCUGAUCCUAAGCCCACCUAAAUUAAUGGGACUUCUUCCAUUGAGUUUAGUGGGCUUUGGAUCAAACCCUAAUGGAGGAGAAGGAGUUCAGCCUCUAUAACUAUUCAGUUCUUUACCUUACACAUAGCAGCUAGUAAGACUGUCAUGAAUAUCACUUUUGUGGGCUCUUUUGGGGUGUUGACACCUAUUGACUAGGCUCUAGACUGAAAUCACCAAGUAAUUCCAGAAGGGCAAUAAAACAGGCAUCAGAUGUUAAUGACUUGCUCACUUUCAAAUUGAUUCAGACCCAAAUCUGAGACCUAGAGGUGAAAUCUUCCAUAUCCUAUUACAGAGCCCUUAAACUAUCCAUUCAUCUGAGAUUUUUCUGUAUAUACACAAUAUGGUGUCUUACUUUUGGUCUAUACAUUUUCAAUUAAACUAAGUAUUAUUCUUCGUUCAGGCUAACAUUUAGAUUGCAGGGUAAUAAGGCAAUUUGGCAGGGAGUAAAAUGUUUCUCAAAAUCCAAAACAUAUUGCAGAAAAAGAAUGCGGUUAUAGUAUAGUAUAGAACAGCCAAAUGGAAUGAAAUUUAGCAUACCACCUAAGAUAGUUGUCAUGCAGAAGUACAAAAUCUGUAUGCAACAGAUUCUGAAAAUCUGAUAAAAUUGCUAUACAGUAAAUAACCUAAAAGGGUGAAAUAUGGACCUCUUGGAUUCUUCCAAGGGCAGUGGAAACCGACUAGAUCAGCAUUAUAAGUACCAGCCACAUAAAUUAGAGAUGUUGGAGGGCGUCUUAAACCUUGCAUCAAAUUUUUUAAAGCUUCCGAAAUUAUUUCAAGAUAAUACAUAUGCAAGCUUGCUUGGAUUAAUACAUACCUUGUUUUCACUUUCUCUGUUGGGUCUCUUUCCAGCCUACCUUGCCAAGAUGUGCAUUAAAUUGCAGUAUUGCAUAACUGAAAUGAGGAAACAGCUUUCUGACAUUCUUUAUGGUUAAACUACAUGAAAAUCCAACAUGCAAGGAUGUAAAUGAAGUCAGAACAAAAUUGGAGCAAAUGUCUGUGUUCUAUCACCUGGAUAUAAUCCUCAUUAAUUGUUCAACCCUGUGAGGAGUUGAGCUCCUCCUGAAAACUUUUGAGUUCCUUCAGUUCCCAUUGGACUUCAGUGGAAAAAGCCUAUUAAGCUCAUGUCGUAGAACCUUGUGUCAGGAAACAAUCCUGCAAUGGUUUCUGAGUGCCUCGUCCAGCCAUGUGUUUAUGAGAAAGGAUGGUUUUAUCGCUAAAGGCCAUAAACUCUAUUAGUAUCUCUAAUUACUAUAUUACUCUGUAAGUAACUAUGGCAGCUAACAGUGUUUCACCCCUGCUAAAGGCCUCUGCUGGCACAUGACCUUCCUGUUACCAUUGGACUAGGACUCAGGAGUUUUUGGUUCAAUUCCUGGCUCUGCCACAGAUUUUCUGACCUUGGGCAAGUCACCUAAUCUAUCCAUAACCCAGUCUCCCCAGCUAUAUAAUGGAGAUAGUAAUACUUCUUUAGUUUGUCUUGUUUCUUUUGAUUGUAAACUGUUUUGGGCAGGAACCGUCUUUUAGUAUGUGUACAUUAUUUGUAUGGUGCACAGCACAAUAGGCCCCAAUCUUCGUUGUGGCCUCUAGGCAAUAUUGUAAUAUACAUGAUUAAUAAUAAAGUUUUAAAUUACUCAAGUAAUGUGUUUCCACCAUACUUUGGGAAGUCACAGGUGUUCCAAAAGUUAGCAAGUAUUAACUUUUUUAAGUAAGAACCCAAACUAACAUGGCAGUAACUUGUGAAGACACCAAUUUUCUUUUUUGAAUUGAAGAUGUAAUAAACUGAGAAUUUUCUCAAUUCUCUUACA